GGCCUCGUAGUUCAGCUGGUAGAGCGUGCGCUGUACAAAAGCGUAAACGGCGUCCAUGCGUGGAUACAAAUCCCACCGAGGAUU
rnacentral:tRNA from 1 species